GAUGAACGCUGGCGGCGUGCCUAAUACAUGCAAGUCGAGCGAACGGACGAGAAGCUUGCUUCUCUGAUGUUAGCGGCGGACGGGUGAGUAACACGUGGAUAACCUACCUAUAAGACUGGGAUAACUUCGGGAAACCGGAGCUAAUACCGGAUAAUAUUUUGAACCGCAUGGUUCAAAAGUGAAAGACGGUCUUGCUGUCACUUAUAGAUGGAUCCGCGCUGCAUUAGCUAGUUGGUAAGGUAACGGCUUACCAAGGCAACGAUGCAUAGCCGACCUGAGAGGGUGAUCGGCCACACUGGAACUGAGACACGGUCCAGACUCCUACGGGAGGCAGCAGUAGGAAAUCUUCCGCAAAGGGCGAAAGCCUGACGGAGCAACGCCGCGUGAGUGAUGAAGGUCUUCGGAUCGUAAAACUCUGUUAUUAGGGAAGAACAUAUGUGUAAGUAACUGUGCACAUCUUGACGGUACCUAAUCAGAAAGCCACGGCUAACUACGUG
rnacentral:rRNA from 1 species